UAAGAACAUUAUUUAAAGUAAGACCUGCUCAAUGACAACUCAAAUAAAUAGCCGCAGCUUAUCUGUGCUAAGGUAGCAUAAUAAUUUGCUUUUUAAUUAAAAGAUAGAAUGAAGGGUUACACACUAAAAGCAUGUUUCUCUCAGACCUAAUUAACUUAAAAUUAAAGUCAAAAUACUUUUAAAUACAGCGGGACGACAAGACCCUGAUAAACUUAACAUUUAGUUGGGGAAACACGUUAAAAAGACUUUAACACUCAAAACUACUCAACUUUAAAAUAAAAUCAAGAUUAGUUACUACAGGGAUAACAGCGCUAUUUCUUUUAAGAGACCCUAUCUAAAAAGAAGUUUACGACCUCGAUGUUGAAUUAAUCACCCUAUAAAGUGCAACAGCUUAUAUAA
rnacentral:rRNA from 1 species